rnacentral:other from 1 species
CGUCACCUGCGGUGUUCGAGUUGUCUCUGAAUACCCUUAGAACCUAAAUCACAGUACGGGAGCCAAAAUAGAGGCUGUUGUUGUGCAGGUCCGGAUGAUUCGGAAAGCCUGAAACACCUCCUAGGCGCCCACUUGAACUAUCCGGUUCAAGGCUAAGGGGCAAUCCGGCACAGGCGGGUGACGC